ACGGGAGGCAGCAGUGAGGAAUAUUGGUCAAUGGACGAGAGUCUGAACCAGCCAAGUAGCGUGCAGGAUGACGGCCCUAUGGGUUGUAAACUGCUUUUGUACGGGAAUAAAGUGACCUACGUGUAGGUUUUUGCAUGUACCGUAAGAAUAAGGACCGGCUAAUUCCGUGCCAGCAGCCGCGGUAAUACGAGGGGUGCAAGCGUUGUUCGGAAUCACUGGGCGUAAAGGGAGCGCAGGCGGAGAUGCAAGCAGUCUGUACAAUACCGGGGCCCAACCCCGGACCUGCAGACUGGACUGUUUCUCUUGGAUAGUUCAGGGGCAAGCGGAAUUCCUGGUGUAGCGGUGGAAUGCGUAGAGAUCAGGAAGAACACCGAUGGCGAAGGCAGCUUGCUGGGGACUUAUCGACGCUCAUGCUCGAAAGUGCGGGUAGCAAACAGGAUUAGAUACCCUGGUA
rnacentral:rRNA from 1 species